UGUUUAGAUGCUACCAGGGUGUUCUGUUA
rnacentral:piRNA from 1 species